UACGUCCCACUAAAUCCAAGGGUGAACAUCAUCGUCUUCUAGUAGCACGUAGCAGCAUUGCAAUUUCUGCUCG
rnacentral:lncRNA from 1 species